rnacentral:rRNA from 1 species
AGUGGCGGACGGGUGAGUAACGCGUGAGGAACCUACCUUACAGUGGGGAAUAACAGUUGGAAACGGCUGCUAAUACCGCAUAAUGCAAAGAGACCGCAUGAUCUUUUUGUCAAAGAUUUAUCGCUGUAAGAUGGCCUCGCGUCUGAUUAGCUAGUUGGUGGGGUAAAGGCCCACCAAGGCGACGAUCAGUAGCCGGACUGAGAGGUUGACCGGCCACAUUGGGACUGAGAUACGGCCCAGACUCCUACGGGAGGCAGCAGUGGGGAAUAUUGGGCAAUGGGCGAAAGCCUGACCCAGCAACGCCGCGUGAAGGAAGAAGGCUUUCGGGUUGUAAACUUCUUUUAACAGGGACGAUAAUGACGGUACCUGUUGAAUAAGCUCCGGCUAACUACGUGCAGCAGCCGCGGUAAUACGUAGGGAGCAAGCGUUAUCCGGAUUUACUGGGUGUAAAGGGCGUGUAGGCGGGACUACAAGUCAGAUGUGAAAAUUAUGGGCUCAACCCAUAACCUGCAUUUGAAACUGUGGUUCUUGAGUGCUGGAGAGGCAAAUGGAACUCCUAGUGUAGCGGU